AUGUGACAUAAAUAAGGAACAGUACAAUUCAUGAACCACAAAAUCAACAAAAUUCAAUAAAUUGUUUCACCUUUGAAAUUAUUUUUCCAAUUUAUUAUCAAUUUAUUAUUUUUGUCAAAGACAAAAUUAUUUGACAACAUCGUUGGAAAAAGCUACUAGUACUUGACACUUCAAAUUUUUUACAAAAAACGACGGAAAUAACAGAAGACGAAUUCAACAAAUCUUCCAAAGAGGUUGUAGGAGGAAGCCAUAUUAUACAGGCCCUUAAAGAAUUGGUAGGAGAAAGUGAUGAUGAUAGUUUAAUGUGUAUACAGUAGGUAUAAUGCAUGAUUUCAAUUGGCCUUAUUCAAAAAUUAAAAUAAAAUAUGAAAGUUUGCAGGCAAAAAGUAGGAACAUUUUCAUUAAAAGUAGAAUAAUAGAAACUACUUUAAAUGAACUGUAACUAACUUUUUAUGUCAAAAAAGAUUAAAUUAAUCUGCUACACUUUCACUUGACAUCUUGUGCACAUUUGCAAGUUUGCCCGUCAAGAACAAUUUCCAUCCUUUGUAAAGUUGCAUAAUUGGAGGUUUCCUAUGUGUUUAUUUACCGGUAUUAUGGCAAAUCGUAUAGAAGACGAUCAGCUUCAUGUCAUCACAAGCAGGUUCACAAGGGAAAGAAACCACUAGUGAAAUUUAUAAAAUAUAAUUUUCACUGUAGCCGGACUGUAUCUGAAUGCGGAUGAAAAGAAAAUCAUAACUAAAUGGAAUAACAGGCACAAAUAAAUAUCGGCGUACAUAAAUUUUGCUUCUUUAGGAAAAGAAAGUCAAUGUCAUCAUACAUGUUAAAAAUUUAACAAAAUUAGAGAAAUUAAACAGAACUAUAUUUCAAAAUUUAUGAUAUGACGUCAUGAUAUAAUGACGUCACAAAGGAGAAUGCACAACAUUACGCGGCACAAUCAUUUAAAAAACAAGAGCCGCCGCCAGGCAGGGGCAAUGCACGACUUAUUACUUUCUCUAAAUGAUGUGCCGCAACAACUAAUCCCCCCCCCCCCUUAGAUGAACUAAAUCUCAGGAAAUGUUUUUUAAGUGUAUAAUUAUUCCAUCUUAAGAUAAUACUCGGUUUUAAGUCAUUUUUGUCAUUUUUACUUUGAUGACAUUUUCUUCUAAUUAACAGAUUAAAUUAAACAUGUCAAUAAUUUUGUUUCUAAUGAAAGGUCUGUAAUGAAAUUAUUGGAUAAAUUAAUAUUAUAAUACGUACUGGACAUUUUACAAACAAUAAAAGAACUUAUACAUAGAUGUUAUGCAGUUAUGGGUAAUAAGGAGACAUUUUAAUUCUUUUGAUGAUUUUGAUUCCUGUGAUAUGAUGGGAAAAAAAUUAAAUAUAUCUAUAAACACUUCAGUCUAUAUUAUUUUAUUACAGAAUCUAACACUCAGCAGACAUGUAUGCAAAAUAAAAAUAAGAAUGAAGCUAUACUGCCAGUGAAGGCUGUUGCAGAAAGGAGCAAAGGAAAGAAAAGAAAAUUUGAGGUAACAUAUUAGGUUUUGGAUGCAAUAAAAAUUAUUCCUUAAAGACUGUUCUGUAGAAGAUAUUUGUUGGUUUUGUAUUUAAGAUUGAAAGUAUUUCAUAUUAAGUGAACACCAGCUUCAACAUGAACAUGGUGUUAACAGGCAUUCAUGAAAUGAUUUUGAAAAAAAUCCUGGAAAAACAACCAAUUAUUGAUAUUACUUAUUUUAAGUAUCUGGCAAGAGCACUUUUUUAUAUUUUUAUAAGAUAUUCAUAUUUUCCUUCCAGGGAAAAGGAACAACUAAAGAAAAGCAUGGUAAAGAAAUAGAAUUAGCUGCUGCUGAGUUGGAGUUGACAGAACUUGAAGAGAGUCUGUCAACUCCAAAUCCAGAAAAGGAAAUUGCCUGCCAAAGUGAGGCAACUAACACCUUCAGUGAACACUUAAAUAGUGAAAAAACUGACAGUCUUCCGGUCUCAGUCCGAGAAUCGCUAGAAAUAGCUAAUGGAAGUGGACCCCCUGUGAAAGUACCUAGAUAUCAGGAGCCUGCUAUCCAACCUGUCCAUGUCCCUGCAGUGAAUGGAUACCUGGAGCAAAAAGUACAAAUGUUGCAGCAAGAGCUUUACCAAGCUAACUGCAGGAUAGCUAACUUGGAAUCGAGUUACACGUGGUUAUGGAAUGCUUUCCAACAGAUGCAGAGCAAUGGUGCCCAACCCCACCAGAAUGUAAAUACUCCUGAUUAUGGAGAAAGUUCAAUGUGUAGCAGUUCUGAUGCACAAGCAAGUAUAUUUUAUAUAAAAUAAUCCUUUUUAUUUAUCAUAAGAAAUAAAAAAAAGGGUUCAACUUCUAGAAACUUACAGGUUCAAAUGAAAAUCAAGGUGUUAAUGUUGAUUUUGAAGAAAGCAAUUAUUGGUAGCUGCAGUAACUUAUAAAAUAAGAAUUGCAAUUUAGGUACUUUUGGAUAUAAAAUUUGUUGUAAUUUUUUAAAUUUUAUAGUUAUAUAAAAUUGUUGUUUGGUUAUAU